UCCUCGAUGGUCUAACGGUUCAUGAUUUCCGCUUGUCAAAUCUAAAUAGAUUACGAGCGCGGGAGACCUGGGUUCGACUCCCAGUCGGGGAG
rnacentral:tRNA from 1 species